AGGUUGGUACUUGUACCGACUGGAUGAGCAGCGAACGGGUGAGUAACGCGUGGGGAAUCUGCCUUUGAGCGGGGGACAACAUUUGGAAACGAAUGCUAAUACCGCAUAAAAACUUUAAACACAAGUUUUAAGUUUGAAAGAUGCAAUUGCAUCACUCAAAGAUGAUCCCGCGUUGUAUUAGCUAGUUGGUGAGGUAAAGGCUCACCAAGGCGAUGAUACAUAGCCGACCUGAGAGGGUGAUCGGCCACAUUGGGACUGAGACACGGCCCAAACUCCUACGGGAGG
rnacentral:rRNA from 1 species